CCUACGGGAGGCAGCAGUGGGGAAUAUUGCACAAUGGGCGCAAGCCUGAUGCAGCGACGCCGCGUGAGGGAUGACGGCCUUCGGGUUGUAAACCUCUUUCAGUAGGGAAGAAGCGAAAGUGACGGUACCUGCAGAAGAAGCGCCGGCUAACUACGUGCCAGCAGCCGCGGUAAUACGUAGGGCGCAAGCGUUAUCCGGAAUUAUUGGGCGUAAAGAGCUCGUAGGCGGUUUGUCGCGUCUGCCGUGAAAGUCCGGGGCUCAACUCCGGAUCUGCGGUGGGUACGGGCAGACUAGAGUGAUGUAGGGGAGACUGGAAUUCCUGGUGUAGCGGUGAAAUGCGCAGAUAUCAGGAGGAACACCGAUGGCGAAGGCAGGUCUCUGGGCAUUAACUGACGCUGAGGAGCGAAAGCAUGGGGAGCGAACAGGAUUAGAUACCCUGGUAGUCCAUGCCGUAAACGUUGGGCACUAGGUGUGGGGGACAUUCCACGUUUUCCGCGCCGUAACUAACGCAUUAAGUGCCCGCCNGGGAGUACGGCCGCAGGCUAAACGUCAAUUGAAUUGACGGCUGNGAGNGCGACGACGACGACGAGGAGGAGG
rnacentral:rRNA from 1 species